rnacentral:lncRNA from 1 species
CUGCCAUCUUACUGUGUGCUCACAUGCCCUCUUCUUUGUGCAUGCUGAGGCAGAGAGAGAGAGUGAACCAAAGUGCAAGCACUUAAGUGAGCCUUCUGGUGUUAGUUCUUAUAAGAACACUAAUCGUGUCAUAUUGGGUCUCUACCCUUAUUACCUCAUUUAACCUUAAUUACCUAUUUAUAAGCCUUAUCUACAAAUACUGUCUCAUUAGGGGUUAGGGCUUCAGCAUAUAAAUUUGGAGGGGACACCAUUCAGUCCAUAGCAUGAUAAUUCCUUCCCCUCUUUUCUUCCUUAAGGCAUUGCACUGAAUUUUCAUCACUAAAUGUGACAGAGGUCCAAAUGCUAUAGCCACAGUGGUUGACCACCAUACUUAAUUCAUUCUAUUCUGUCCUCAUGUGUCUGUUUGCCUUCCUAAGCAGACCAGUGCAAUGGGACCAACAAGCCAUUAGGAUGGAAAAGGCCAUCUAGUGGUGGUUCAAAGCAAGGCCUCUGGAGUCUGGCUGCCUGGGUUUGAAUUCCAGCUCUGCCAUUUACUUAGCCUCCCUCUGUGGGAAUGAACCCACCUGCAAAAUGCAGCAGACUGUGUCCGUCUUCCACCUCUGCACCAACACCAAUUCCUGUGUCAAGUUUCCAACAAAUGGAAAUCAUCGGAAGAGUACCGCCAAGUUCAGUGGUGAUGGUAUUGUGUGAGCGAGUUGGAGCCUAGCCCCUUCCUAAAGAUGAAGGAGGAAGAUGGAGGAUGCACAGGAUAAAAGAAUCUACGAAUUUAUCAUCAGAUGCUUAGAAGUUCCAUGUUCCACAAGGAAAAUGUACACCAGUGGUCAAAAUCCCUUAUGACUUCUCCCCAGAUGACAGCAAGACCUUAUUACUGUGGAAGGGCUUCAAUCCUGUAAAUUAAAUGGCUAUCACUUUUUUUUUCUCAAUAAAGAUAAACUGAGGACAUUUACCUUGAGGGCACCAGAAGCUAAUUUAUAUGUAAAAAGCUGUAUUAAAGAACAACAGUAGCAGCUCUAUGCUACGAAUUGUGCAAAAGUGAUCAAAAAGCAGUGCUGCAGCUAGCAAUUCAGAGGCAGAAUCUUUUUUUCUUGAUGGACUCAGUCAUUACUUUUUUUUAUUUGGUUUUAAAUUCCAAUAUUCUUGGCAUCAUUCCAACAUGCAUUGUUCUAAGAAAAUAUAAAGGGAAUGUCAAAUUAUAAUUUCUUGGAACACUUAAUUUGUCACCAGGAAAGAACAAUGUAACUCUGAGACAGUAGAAGGAUUUACUUCUGGGCCUGUUAAUUUUAGUGAAACUGAAGAAUAAACAUUCAAUGUUAUGACCUUGGGAAAUAUUUCAUUCUCUUUAUUUCAUCCUCAUCUUGAUAUAUAAAUGCCAUAAUUAACAGUUUGGGGUUUAUUUAUUGCAACAAAGCAGAUAUGUGGCACAUGAUUUAAUCUCUAAAAGCAAUUUCAAUUUGGCCUAUUUGUCAUUUAGGGCGUGUGCCCAAUUUAAAAUGAUUUCUGCUUGCUCAAGUCUCUCUUACACACACAUGCUCAGUGAUCAAAUAUUUAGAUUUAUAUAAAGUUCUUGACACUAACAAUAAAAAGGCAGCAUUUAAGUAAACUGCAAAAUGCCAGAAAGGCCUAAGAAACUCAAAUAUAAUAUUGAGGAACAUUGCUAGUAUAGGGAUCAUGGAGAAUAUAUUUUUAUUUUGCUUUGCUGACUAUAUGUACUGAGUUUUCAUAAAUAAAAAGAAGUCAUGUGUCCUAAAAAAAGUCUGUCAAAGUUGGCUGGUUUUAUGUGCAUCACAAUAUUUUAUUUAAUGAGGAACUCAAUUUGAAUUUUGAUUAAAGCAAUUAAUAGAAAGUACGGGCCCUAUUAGGAGUAAUCUGUGGCAAGUUUUUCUGAUUACAAGGAAACAUUCAAUUCAUACAUUUUUAUUCUUACAAAAGAUUCUAGAUAAAGAAAAGUAAAAGAAAAUUAUAAAUAUCAACAAAUAUUAUUUUUUCAAACAUCAUUUUUAUCAUUAGAUGUACCAUUAUUUCAGAUUUAUAGAACAGAUGGUUUAUGAGAACAUUAUACAUCUGAACAUUAAUCCAUUAAAAAUAUUAGCUGGAUUCAUUAAUGUAUACAGCAUCUUUUUCACGUAGAUCAGUUGGAAAGUUUAAAAUAAACAGCACUUGGCACAUAUUAAAACAUAAUAUUAGUUGCAGAUAAUUUUUAGGGUCAAGUUAAUUUUUAGGCUGGUUUAGUUUUCCCUGCACAUCUUCUACAUUUCCUUCGUUGUACUUGUCAAAUUAUAACAAUUGAAUAAUUGUCUAAUUUUUGAUAUGUCUUUUCUGUUAUGUUUUGAACCCCAGGAGAGUUGGAACUGUUUCUCUGUUCACUAAGCUUAAUAUUUAGGCCACUGCUUAAAAGAUAGAGGCGCUCAAUAAAGAUGUGCUUAAUGAAUAUAGGAUUGAAUGAUCUAUACCACGAGUAGGCAAAUUAUGGCUCGAAUCCAGCCUAUUGCCUGUUUUUUACAGCCUUCAUGUGAAGAAUGGUUUUUCCAUAUUUGAAUGGGUUGAUUUUUUCACAUGGUUAAAUAAGUACCUAAAUGAUAGAUUCAAUUUUGCCUCUUGUCCCAUAAAUCCUAAAAUAUUUACUAUCUAAUACUUUAAGAAAAGGUUUUCUGACCCUGGACUAGACAAGCAGUAAGUAAUACAACGGCUGUGAUGAUAAAAAUAUUCUAUAUUUGUGCUGAGCAAUAGGAUAGCCACAAACCACAUGUGGCUAUUGAGCACAUGAAAUUUAUCUAGGAUCACCACACUUUUAAUUUAAUUUUAAUUAAUUUCAAUAAUUCUAUGUGGCCAGUAGCUAGUGUGUCAGACAUCAGCAGAUCUAGAUAUGUAAAAGAAUAGCUUCAUGUAAAGACAGUAAACAAUUACCUGAAGCUCAACUCUGUACAAGGAAAAAUGUAAAAAUAUGUGCUAACUUGGUAGUUAGUUGGUCUUUCUCGCAAUAAAAAAAAUUGGAAAUAACUAAACUAUCUACCACCAGUUCAUUAAAACAACUAAUGUUAUGACAAAAUGUUGAAAAGGCCUAAAGGUAAGAAUUAGUUCAUUUAAUUUGACAGUUACACAGGAACUCAUUUAAAAUAAGCAGUGGCUUUUCAUUCCAUAAACUGUACAUGAGAAACAAUUGUUUUGGAUAAGGCGGAUAAUGUUAAUGUUUUAUUAACAAAUAAAUGAAAGAAAUUUCCUUUAUGAAGAUUUUAACAUUUUUCUUUGCAUUAUUGAUUCAAAUAUCAAUUAUUUGCAAGGAAAUUCUUAAAACACGUAGAGUCCUUAUUGAUUUAAAUAUCAAUUAUUUGCAAGGAAAUUCUUAAAACACAUAGAGUCCUAUUAAAAGAAAGUGUGCUAUGUAAUGCAGUAGGCAAAUAUUAGAGCACAUAAACAUGCUAAAACAGUGCUAUAAUCUAGUAGUCUCCCCAAAUCGUUAGAAUUAAUGCAGGUAUUAAAAUGAACUGAGAAGUAAAGAUUCAAAUUGAAGAGUGAAGUUUACAACACCCACAACCACAUAUGAUUUCAAGUCUUUAAGAUGAUAAGCACUUAAAGGGAAUUCUGAAGUAUGUGCUAUUUAGGAUUGAAAUUGUUUGGUGCUAUUAUUUACAACAAAGUAAGUAAAAAAGGGAACAUUAGAAUAUAUUUCCUUUUCAUGCUUACACUGUUUCUGACAUGUCUAUGUAUGAAAUAAUAUCUUCCCAAGUAAAACUACUUUGGCUGCACUCUUUUAUUUCAAAUGAUUUUAUCAUUAGGGAAAAAUUUGAAAUCAUGGCGGACAAAUAAUCCCUUAAUGCUCUUCUUGGCUAGCAAGUAAUUUAUCAAAGCAAUCCAAUUUCCAAAUAGCAUACAAACUCAGUAAGUUGCUGAGCCAAUGCAUCUGUUCCUCUCAGUAUUUAGAGCAUGAACAAAUGCCUUUCCUUUGGGCGGGGGGAAAACCUGAGCUUGAAUUCUCUAAAAGGGCAAGUUAGCUUUAGUAACACUAAUAACUAGUAACUCAUAAUUUCUCUCUGAUAAAACUUUAAGAUUAAAAAAAACUCAGGCUUUAUUGAAAAAUAAUUUACAUGCAGUAAUACUGACCCCUUUUAAGUAUACAGUUCAGUGAGUUUUAACAAACAUACAAGUUGUAUAUCUACAACCAAAAUUAAGAUUUGGGAUAUUUUCAAUCACUGCAGAAAAUUCCCGCAUGUUUCUUUGUAGACAAUGCCUCUCUUCCCUCACAGUCCACAGGCAACCAGUGAUAUGUUUUCUGUUUCCACAGUUUUUCUAGAAUGUCAUAUAAAUGAACCAUAUAACAUGUAGUCUAUUGUGCCUGGCUUAUUUUACUUAGCCACUUAGUAUAAUGAGAUUUUGAAAUUCACCCGUGUUGUUGCAUAUAUUGGUAGUUUGUCCAUUUUUGCUGCUUAGCUGUAUUCCAUUGUAUGAAUAUACCACAAUAUUUUUAGCCAUUUUCCUGUUAAUGGAAUUUUGGCUACUGUGAAUAAAACAACUAUUAACAUUUGCUGUGUGAACAUAUGUUUUCAUUCCUCUUGAGUAAAUAUCUAUGAGUGGAAUUGUUGGGUCAUAGGGUAAGUAUAUGUUUAACUUUAUAAAAGUCUGUCACAUUGUUCUCCAAAAUAACCCUAUUGUUCAUAUUCCCAUCCACAACAUAUUAGUGCUCUGGUUGUUCUGUAUUGUCUCCAAUGAUUAAUGUUAUCAAUUCUUUUAAUUUUAACCAUUCUAUUGGCAGUAUAGUGAUAUCUCUUUGUACUUUUGAUUUCUAUUUCCCCUGAUGACUAAUGAUAUUGUGUAUUUUUCCAUGUGUUUAUUGGCCAUCUGUACAUCUUCAUUGAUGGACAUUUGUUCCAACUCUUUGCCUUUCUUUUUACUGAGUUGAAUGUUUUGUUAUUUAUGUAUUCUGCAUGCAAGUUAUCAGGUGCGUGCUUUGCAGUUUUUCUUUUAUCAAUGUGUGGCCUGUAUUUCAUUUUCUUAACAGUUCUUUUGAAGUGCAGACAUUUACAAUUUUGACUAAGUCCAAUUUGUCAAUUUUUUGGCUUAUGGUUUGUGUUUUUGUGUCCUGAGAAAGAUUUUCUUAACCAAAGGUCACAAAGAUUUUCUACAUUUUCGUCAAGAAAUACUUUAGUUUGUCAUAUUACGUAUUUUACUAUGUAUUUGAAACAUUGUCAGAGAAGAAGUAUAAAGGCAUUUCCAGACUGUCAAAAGGUCCAUGGUCCAGAAAUAGUUUAGCUAUGCCAUUUUUAUUCCCAUUUUCCAGGCCUACUACUCCUUAGGUUGUCCUUUACCCUGGGAAGUACAUUACAAUAUCUUUAAUGCUUCCAUUUUGAAUAUUGCAUUAUAACCAGCUUUGCCUUAUCUUAUAUAGUUUAGUUCAAUAAACCUUAAUUGAAUGAGAAUCUCCAUGUCAGAACCUGGAGAUUCAAAGAUGAAUCAGAUGAUUUCUAUCUAUGAAGAAUUCAUAUCCAAUAUUGUAGGUAGAUACAUAAAUAGGCCAUGGUACUAUAAUGUUUAUGUGAUCCAAUAAUCACAUAUGAGAGUGACCUAGAUGAUGUUCUUACCCCUAUCUUAGGUGGUGGUAGAGGUGUGGGCAGAAUAUCAGGAAAUGCUUCCCUCAGGAAUUGAUGUGCAUGAGGAAUCCUGGAGAAUAAGAAGGCAUGAAGUAGAGAUGAAAGAGAAUGUUUCACACAAAGGAAACAUAUGCAAGCAUCAACUCAACUCUAUGCCUACAGUUCUGGGGCAGAAGAACUGCCAAGGGAGAAAUUAUGCAUUGCCUGCCCCCAGUUCCCUCAGGAUACAUUACAUUAAGGAAGAAAUCAUUCUCAAAAUGUGGAAGCCAAAGCAAACUCCCAUUCUUGACUAGAAUAUUCAGCUUGCCAUUUACCAUUCCAUUCUGAGAGGCAAAAGUUCUUUCUCUCAGUCCCUUUUCCCCAGAAACUGUGAGAAGGUGCAGAGUUGUUGGAUGAAGAAGCCCGUUCAUCAAGGGCUCCUCCCUGUUUCCUGUGCUCUUUCUCAACCCAAACUCAGUGUGCCUCCUUGGCCUUAGCAGUUUCCUUCACUCCUGGACUGAUGGGUGGCACAUGAUUGUGCACUUAAAUACCACAGUACAAACGGGAGGAACACCUGGCUAAUAACUCACAGCCCCAAUUUCUCAUUCAGUACCUUAGCCCAUGUAACCCAGACUAGCUAGAGCAGUGAAGGUCCUCUCUCAUCCUUGAUUACAUGCAUCAUUUAUUACAUCCUAAACAGAGAUGAUUACAUUCCAAUUUCAACUGUCCUUAAAACAUUUCUUUAGGCUCACAGAAACAUCAGCAGCAGCUUUUCCUCAGCUAAUUAGAGACUAAUUGACUCUUUAGCACUGUUAUCAGCUGUGACAGAGCCCUUCCUGCCUCCUGUCUGCCAGCGUACUUGGGACCAUGCCUCUGUGAAGGACUUCAAUUUCUCUUUACAAGAAUCAACGUGGAGCAAACUCCAGUUGCCUACUGCCUAGCAUUCUUGCUAAGAUACGUAUGUAAAUAAAAUGUCUUUAUAUACCUGAGAAUUUAUCUAUGUAGUUCAAGAAUUGUCUUCUUUGCUUAGUUAUCCUACCUUUGAAGGUUUCUGCUUCCAAUUGUUGAGGUGAUGUUACAUCUUUCUGAGGAAGAAGAUGAUACCCUUUUUUGUCCUCCGUAAAAAAGCUUUGUGUGGUGUGGGGUGUGUGUGUGUGUGUCUGUGUGAGCAUUUUGAAUUAUGACCACUGCAUUUCAUGACUUCACUUACCUUGAAUUAUUCUUUUCUCUCAGAGGAUGGACUAAUUUAUUUUCUCCAUAGAGGAUCAGUGUGUUAAUUUCCUUCCUUUCCUCCAAAGCAUAUUCUGAAUGCUUUCACUGCUAGGCAUAGGACAAACAGUUAAAAUGAUAUAUUUUCUGCUCCUCCAGGUCAAAUAGAGGGAUGCAAAAGUUUUAAAAUUAAGUGUAAUAAAGUGCUAUCGAUGUUGUCAUAGGCAUCUGUACAGAGUAUAGUUGGGACAUAAUAAAAAGAUAGCGAUUUCCUGUGGAGGCAGGAUCAUAAAUAUUAAAGGACAACAUAGGAAAGUGUUGACAGGAAGAGAGAGGGAAGUUAGCUUUCCUGGAAGGGAGACUAGGGAGAGCAAAGUCCAGAUGGAGGGAACAACUUGAGAUGUUGUGGGAGUCACAGAAAGUCUGGAUAACUUGAAACCUGGGGUUAGAUGGAGUGCAGCAAAAUAUUAUGUUGAUGAAAUAGCCAGGGGAAGCCUCAUGGAGGAUUUGAAUGCCAUGCGAAAAUGUUGAGGGUUUCCUGUAAGAACAUCGGAUGGCCACAGAAGAGUUAUGAGCAGGGUUAGGAUACUGAUGCCAGGAAACUAAAAGGGCAGCUCAGAGGCCCUGAGCUUAGACAGUAGCAGUGGGACUGGAAGAAGAGGGAGUCAAAAGAAAUGAAAAAGGUAGAAUGAAUAUAACAAUGUUUAAGUGAAUUAAAAGGAGAGAGCUUCCUAGGAUGAUUUUUGGUUUUCAGCUGAGGGUUUCCUUCACCAAAAAGAAGUACUAAAAAAAAGGGAAGUUUUGACAGGGAAGUUCCAUUUUAGAUAAUUUCAUUUUGAGGGCUAGUAAAAUGUAUUUGGGGAGCGGCAAUAUUCACCAGGCAUCUGGAUAAGCAGGACUCGAACUCAGGAGAGAGAUCCUAGAAAUUAAUAUCUGGGCCUCAUCAGUAUAUUGGCAGUAUGGGAAGCCAUGGCCAUGCCCCUUGGAAAGAGAAUAGGUUGAAGAAAGCCCAAGGUCAGAGCUCUGAAUGAAGAAGACUAAUAUUUAAAGGAAAAAUAGAGAAGAAUCUGCAAAGAAGGCUGGGAGACAAUAGACAGUGAAUGGAAAGGAAAAACCAUAGGAAUAGUGGUUCUUUGGCUUCCAGAAAGCAACUCAGGUAUCAGGUGUUCCCUCUACCUCCUUGGAUCUUAUGACAUUUCUGUCUUUCCGUCUGUAUUGCCUUAAUCUCUCCUCUCUCAUGAUCUCUUCAUAUAUAGUUGUUAAUUCCCCAUAACAUUGGCUUCACAUGGUCAAACACUGUCUCUGGAGUUUCUUUAUAUACUGUGACCUUUCAGCUUCUAUCCCCAUGUUGUUUCUUCCCUCUCCCUUCUGCCAUUUCCCCUCUCCCCUCUCCUCUCCUCUCUUCUCUUCUUUUGAUGGAAUCUCGCUCAUGGUGCUCCACACCUGUAA